GUAGGUGGCAAGCGUUGUCCGGAAUUAUUGGGGCGUAAAGCGCGCGCAGGCGGUUCUUUAAGUCUGAUGUGAAAGCCCACGGGCUCAACCGUGGGAGGGUCAUUGGAAGCUGGAGAACUUGAGUACAGAAGAGGAAAGCGGAAUUCCACGUGUAGCGGUGAAAUGCGUAGAGAUGUGGAGGAACACCAGUGGCGAAGGCGGCUUUCUGGUCUGUAACUGACGCUGAGGCGCGAAAGCGUGGGGAGCAAACAGGAUUAGAUACCCUGGUAGUCCACGCCGUAAACGAUGAGUGCUAAGUGUUAGGGGGUUUCCGCCCCUUAGUGCUGCAGCUAACGCAUUAAGCACUCCGCCUGGGGAGUACGGCCGCAAAGGCUGA
rnacentral:rRNA from 1 species